AUGGUCGCUGGUUCUUCCUUCAAACUUAAUGUGACCUCAUGACUUGCUUUAACCAACUCAAAAUGACAAGAAUGACAUUGUGCUAUACCUGAGGAGGUACUUGAUGUCCUCUUGGAACCGAGACCCAAGACGCUGGGCCUGCCUGGGGGCUGUAUAUCACAUGCAGAGAAGGCAAAAUGUUCUUCCUGCAAGGGCACCACUGUCCUCAAGUGAUUAAACCCCACUCCUCCUGCUAGAAAACCACCCUAUGCAGCCUGCAGAACCAUAAGAAAUUCCUCUUGGCUGCACCAAGACACUAAGAUUGGGAUAUUUUAUAAUAUCACAAAGGUUGACUGAAUCAGGGCUGGAAACCAGUACAGGGCAAUGGCUGCUGGAUUUAUGCAUGUUUCUGAGGGUGCAUUACUUUAAGAUAAUACUACAUCCCUCCAAAGGUUAUAUUAGAUUAUACUUGAAACCGGCAAACCCAGCUGUCAGCACAGUGAUCAGCUCAUGACCCAGGUGUGCUUGCUUCACCUGUCCUUUGACAUCCACUGUCCUAUCAUGUGCAUGCAAAUUCUCCUGGGCUUCCCUAACUAACUGCUCCUCGGAACAUCAUUUUUCCCUCUUUCCUCCUAACUACCAGAUUUCCAACAUUCUUGUUCCGCUCCAGGGGUCACAUCUGCCUUCGGUAGUCUACUCUUAAAAUAGAAAAGGGUUAACCUCAUAAAGAUGUCACUCCCUCUCACUGUUAUGCUGCCCUUGGGAGACUCAAACAGCAUAGCAAAUAUAUACGACCGAUGUAAUUGCGUUCGAUCCUGGAGGUCACUGAGGACUUGGUGAGCUGGGACAGAAUACAGGGAAGAAAUAGAUUCCAUCUUUAAAAUCAUCCUUCUCGAUUUCCACUUGCUUUUCUGUGGGAAAUUACCCUACUCCGUGUGCCUUGUUUUAACCUUUACAAUACAUGAAUACACAAAUGAAGGGAUGGUUGAGUGGUAUCACAUUAGGCCCAAAUGCUGCCUGUAUUAGUGAUGCAGUAAGAGUCUAACAUAGAAAGCAGCGAUGCCAACUAGCAUCGCUGAAACUUAAGACCUUCUUCCCUUCGUUGGUAUUGACGUCUAUUGUUAUUGCUAUCAUUAUUAUCAUCGUUAUUGUAAAGCAAUAAGGAGAACCUGGUGAGUAGCUUUGGUUAUCACUGAGGCCUGUUUCAGUGAUACACUUUUGAAUACUUCCUGCAUAUAAGGAUUUUAUUUCUCAGACUUUAGUAUCUUUGGAAUUGUUUUUAUUGAGGAACAACAAGAAAGAGUUAAUAAAGAUGGGUAUUAUCUACUAUUUAAAAAAAGAUAUUGGUCAAGAGAGUCCGAAGUAGCCUCAGUGUCCAGCUCCAGCCAUGUCAGAAGGGGCAGAGCCCAACAGUGUUCAUUUCUUAUUACAGGGUGCUUAGUGCAGGGUGCUUAGUACAGGGUGCUUAUUACAGGGUGCUUAGUACAGGGUGCUUAUUAUAGGGUGUUUAGUACAGGGUGCUUAGUACAGGGUGCUUAGUACAGGGUGCUUAGUACAGGGUGCUUAAUACAGGGUGCUUAGUACAGGGUGCUUUGUACAGGGUUUCUUAGACAAGGUAGACAGCCUAAGAAACAUGAUCGUCAGAGGAGUGCUUUGUUUAGUUUGUUUGCGACUGGAGCCUCAUUCCCCAACUCCUACAAAUGCCAGUUGCAGCAUUUUCUGUGGAAUAAGGAGGAUUCACGAGCUGUGUACCACCAUGAGAUGAUAGCAUGUGAUGCAGCGUAUAAAAUGAAAUGUGGGUCCUUCUCAGGAGCUGACGGCUGUUCAAGUGCACACAUCAGUCCCCCCAUCUGUUUGUCUCUCUCUCAUAGACACACAACAAUUGAGAAGUGCAGAUUGAUGGACGGGAUUCUAUCCUUGUCACCACUUCAUCUUUAAAAUAUGUUUCCUCUUUAAAGGGGGACUGUAAAAGACAGUCAGAGAAAUUGGCUUGGGGGAUGGGAUUCGGCCCACUGCUAUUUUUUCCUUAUCACUAAAACCUUAAGCAGAGAGCAUAAUCACCUAUCUCCCCCAGGGCAGCCCUAAGCCCUGAAAACUCAGCUCUGUUUAGGGAUUUAAUAGAACUGGAAAGAAGAAAUAAGCAAGAUCUGCUCCAGCACACCAACAAAGGAAACAUUUUCACAAAUAUUAGACAGAGAGGAGUUCUCAGCACACACCUCGCCCUCCCUCUCUCCAGAAGCAGCUAGAGCACAGCUCUGAAUUCAGCAUCCUAUCACUCUCAGCAUCUUGGGGGUCUUUGGAUCAUGUCUGAGGCUCCAGAACAGCUGGGUGCAUUUUCUUAACAAAGCAAGAUGUAACUGGCGUGAAUCAAAGCCUCCUUUGGUCGAGGUUGUCACAGUGUUCAUUGAAGGACUUCAUUGUCUGUUAGGUUGGAGUCACAGAGAUAUUGACUUCCCCCCAGUUGCUUCUAAAUAGCUUGGAAUUUCUUUUGUUAAGGUUUUUAGAUGAAAAUAUCUUGGUGUUAUGCUGUGCAAUGUGACUUUUCUUUCUUGAUGCCUAAAGCAAAGGAUAUUAGGUUGCCUUUCUUCUGUCUUACUUUGCUGAGAAAAUGUAUCCAAAGUCCCCAUGAUGCCUACAUACACACACCACAGCACAUACAGACACACACCAUACACACACAACACAUGCAUGUAACACACACUCAUGCACACAUACAACACACAUACAGCACAUGCACACACAAUACACAAUAUACAUACACAACAUGACCAAUACACAAACACUUCACUCAGAAUAACUGUUUUCAAUAUAUGGAUACAAGGUGGGUAUGAGAGUGAUUUUC
rnacentral:lncRNA from 1 species